ACUGCCUUAUUCGUGCUGCCGUUUCACUCA
rnacentral:sRNA from 1 species